CCUUGAAUCUCGAAUCAGAUAAGAUUACCCGCUGAACUUAAGCAUAUCAGUAAGCGGAGGAAAAGAAACUAACAAGGAUUCCCUUAGUAACGGCGAGUGAAGAGGGAACAGCUCAAAUUUUAAAUCUUUGAGGGUAACCUUAACGAGUUGUAAUUUGAAGGAGUGUUUUCCGUGGCUGGUGCAGGCAUAAGUUUCCUGGAAUGGAACAUCAAAGAGGGUGAGAAUCCCGUCUUUAGCCCGAGACUAGCCAUUUAGUGAUACACUUUCUAAGAGUCGGGUUGUUUGGGAAUGCAGCCUUAAAUGGGUGGUAAACUUCAUCUAAAGCUAAAUAUUGGCAGGAGACCGAUAGCGAACAAGUACCGUGAGGGAAAGAUGAAAAGCACUUUGAAAAGAGAGUCAAAUAGUACGUGAAAUUGUUAAAGGGGAAACGUUUGGGAUCAGUGAUGACUUUCAGUACACAGUCGAGAUUGGCAACAGUCUUGAUGCAUUUACUGAAGUCAAGUCAACAUCGGUUUGAGUUGCUAUAUACUCUUGCAAAGAAUGUAGCUUACCCUCGGGUAAGUGUUAUAGCUUUGUAUGAACAUAGGGACUUGGACUGAGGCAUGCAGUGCGUUUAGGGAACUUUGUGCUAGCGCUGUCAAGGCUUGACAAGACAUUAAAUGACUUGUUAGGCUUUUGGUUUUUCUAGCAUUAAGGGUCACCAAAGUACUUUGGAUGUUGACGAAAUGGUCUUAAACGACCCGUCUUGAAACACGGACCAAGGAGUCUAACAUAUAUGCGAGUAUUUGAGUGGCAAACUCGAAUGCGUAAUGAAAGUGAGUCAGAAUGGGAUCUUUUCCUYGGAGAAGUGCACCAUUGACCGACCUUGAAGCCAUGUGCUGAAGGGUUUGAGUAAGAGCGUAUCUGCUGGGACCCGAAAGAUGGUGAACUAUGCCUGAAUAGGGUGAAGCCAGAGGAAACUCUGGUGGAGGCUCGUAGCGAUUCUGACGUGCAAAUCGAUCGUCAAAUUUGGGUAUAGGGGCGAAAGACUAAUCGAACC
rnacentral:rRNA from 1 species